GAUGAACGCUAGCGGCAGGCUUAACACAUGCAAGUCGAGGGGUAUAGUUCUUCGGAACUAGAGACCGGCGCACGGGUGCGUAACGCGUAUGCAAUCUACCUUUUACAGGGGAAUAGCCCAGAGAAAUUUGGAUUAAUGCCCCAUAGUAUAGUUUAUUCGCAUGAGUAGAUUAUUAAAGUUCCAACGGUAAAAGAUGAGCAUGCGUACCAUUAGCUAGAUGGUAAGGUAACGGCUUACCAUGGCGACGAUGGGUAGGGGUCCUGAGGGGGCGGUCCCCCACACUGGUACUGAGACACGGACCAGACUCCUACGGGAGGCAGCAGUGAGGAAGAUUGGUCAAUGGACGCAAGUCUGAACCAGCCAUGCCGCGUGCAGGAUGACGGUCCUAUGGAUUGUAAACUGCUUUUGUACGAGAAGAAACACUGCUACGUGUAGCAGCUUGACGGUAUCGUAAGAAUAAGGAUCGGCUAACUCCGUGCCAGCCGCCGCAGUAA
rnacentral:rRNA from 1 species